rnacentral:misc_RNA from 1 species
UGGGUUUGACAUAUACCGGAAAGCCGUAGAGAUACGGCCCCCCUUGUGGUCGGUAUACAGGUGGUGCAUGGCUGUCGUCAGCUCGUGUCGUGAGAUGUUGGGUUAAGUCCCGCAACGAGCGCAACCCUCGUCCUAUGUUGCCAGCGGGUUAUGCCGGGAACUCAUAGGAGACUGCCGGGGUCAACUCGGAGGAAGGUGGGGAUGACGUGCCAGUAUCGGAA